rnacentral:rRNA from 1 species
CAUGGUCUAGCUAGGUCUCAUCAGCAAAACGAACUUUAAGUUUGACCCCCCGAAACUAAGUGAGCUACUUCGAAACAACCUCAAGAGCCAACCCGUCUCUGUUGCAGAAGAGUGGGACGAUUUCCAAGUAGAAGUGACAAACCUAUCGCACUUAAUAAUAGCUGGUUACUCGAGAAAAGAAUUUAAGUUCAACCUUAAGCCUUUUCCUUGUCCAAAAAACUUCAUUAGACUUAAGAGCCACUCGAAUAAGGCACAGCUUAUUCGAAACAGGAUACAACCUAUGACCCAGGGUAACACCCAAGAGCACUUAAUAAGUGGGCCUAAGAGCAGCCACCUUUCAAAAAGCGUUAAAGCUUAAUGCCUAAUUCUAAUCAAUACCUCUUUUAACCUCAAACCCUUAAACAAUAUCGAGUAACUCCNUAAAUAUAUGGAAGAUAUAAUGCUAGAACUAGUAAUAAGAAAUAGACUUUCUCCAAAAUGUAAGCUUAAGCCACAUUAGACCCACUACUGGCAAUUAACGCACAUGAAUCUCCUAUAAUAACCAAAACAAGAAAACACUAUAUAAUUCAACGUCAACCUUACACUAGAACAUUUAUGGAAAGAUUAAAAGAGAGAGAAGGAACUCGGCAAACUUAGACCCCGCCUG